rnacentral:rRNA from 1 species
UGCUGUGAGCUCGAUGAGUAGGGCGGGACACGUGGUAUCCUGUCUGAAUAUGGGGGGACCAUCCUCCAAGGCUAAAUACUCCUGACUGACCGAUAGUGAACCAGUACCGUGAGGGAAAGGCGAAAAGAACCCCGGCGAGGGGAGUGAAAAAGAACCUGAAACCGUGUACGUACAAGCAGUGGGAGC